AGAGUUUGAUCCUGGCUCAGGACGAACGCUGGCGGCAUGCCUAACACAUGCAAGUCGAACGAGAAAGUUCCUUCGGGAGCAAUUAAAGUGGCGCACGGGUGAGUAACGCGUAGACAAUCUGCCCUUCAGUCUGGGACAACUUUUCGAAAGGAGAGCUAAUACCGGAUAACAAUGUUUAACCUAAGUUAAGUAUUUGAAAGCUUUAUGUGCUGAAGGAGGGGUCUGCGUCCCAUUAGCUAGUUGGUAAGGUAAAGGCUUACCAAGGCGACGAUGGGUAGCGGGUUUGAGAGGACGAUCCGCCACACUGGAACUGAGACACGGUCCAGACUCCUACGGGAGGCAGCAGUGGGGAAUAUUGCACAAUGGAGGCAACUCUGAUGCAGCAAUGUCGCGUGAGUGAAGAAGGCCCUUGGGUCGUAAAGCUCUUUUAUGGGGGAAGAUGAUGACGGUACCCCAAGAAUAAGCACCGGCUAACUAUGUGCCAGCAGCCGCGGUAAUACAUAGGGUGCGAGCGUUGUUCGGAAUUACUGGGCGUAAAGGGCGCGCAGGCGGAAUAGUAAGUCGGAGGUGAAAGCCCGGGGCUCAACCCCGGAGGGUCUUUCGAAACUGCUAAUCUAGAGAGGGUCAGGGGCCGGCAGAAUUCCUGGUGUAGAGGUGAAAUUCGUAGAUAUCAGGAGGAAUACCGGUGGCGAAGGCGGCCGGCUGGGGCCACUCUGACGCUGAGGCGCGAAAGCGUGGGGAGCAAACAGGAUUAGAUACCCUGGUAGUCCACGCCGUAAACGAUGAGCACUGGACGUCCGGAGGGUUCGACCCUUCUGGGUGUCUCAGCUAACGCAUUAAGUGCUCCGCCUGGGGAGUACGGUCGCAAGACUAAAACUCAAAGGAAUUGACGGGGGCCCGCACAAGCGGUGGAUUAUGUGGUUUAAUUCGAUGCAACGCGAAGAACCUUACCUGGACUUGACAUGUUAGUGAAACUCUGGUGAAAGCCAGAGCUUCUGCGAGCUUGCUCAAAGACACUAUCACAGGUGAUGCAUGGCUGUCGUCAGCUCGUGUCGUGAGAUGUUCGGUUAAGUCCGAUAACGAGCGCAACCCCUAUCCUUAGUUGCCAGCACGUAAUGGUGGGGACUCUAGGGAAACUGCCCGGGAUAACCGGAAGGAAGGUGGGGUCGACGUCAAGUCAGUAUGUCCCUUACGUUCAGGGCUACACACGUAAUACAAUGGGGAGUACAGAGGGUAGCAAUACUGCGAAGUGGAGCCAAUCCCAAAAAACUUCCCCAAGUUCGGAUUGCAGUCUGCAACUCGACUGCAUGAAGUUGGAAUCGCUAGUAAUCGCGGAUCAGAACGCCGCGGUGAAUACGUUCCCGGGCCUUGUACACACCGCCCGUCACACCAUGGGAGCCGACAAGGGCAGAAGUCGCCGAGCUAACCUUCGGGAAGCAGGCGCCCAAGCUGUUGUUGACGACUGGGGUGAAGUC
rnacentral:rRNA from 1 species